rnacentral:rRNA from 1 species
UGGGGAAUUUUGCACAAUGGGGGAAACCCUGAUGCAGCGACGCCGCGUGAUUUAGAAGGCCUUCGGGUUGUAAAAAUCUUUUCUAUGGGAAGAAAAUGACAGUACCAUAGGAAUAAGGACCGGCUAAUUACGUGCCAGCAGCCGCGGUAAUACGUAAGGUCCGAGCGUUGUCCGGAAUCAUUGGGCGUAAAGGGUACGUAGGCGGGUAAGCAAGUUAGAAGUGAAAUCCUAUAGCUCAACUAUAGUAAGCUUUUAAAACUGCUCAUCUUGAGGUAUGGAAGGGAAAGUAGAAUUCCUAGUGUAGCGGUGAAAUGCGCAGAUAUUAGGAGGAAUACCGGUGGCGAAGGCGACUUUCUGGCCAUAACCUGACGCUGAGGUACGAAAGCGUGGGUAGCAAACAGG